rnacentral:rRNA from 1 species
UACGUAGGGUGCGAGCGUUAAUCGGAACUACUGGGCGUAAAGCGUGCGCAGGCGGUUUUGCAAGCCGGAUGUGAAAUCCCCGGGCUCAACCUGGGAAUGGCAUUCGGGACUGCAAGGCUGGAGUGCGGCAGAGGAGACUGGAAUUCCUGGUGUAGCAGUGAAAUGCGUAGAUAUCAGGAGGAAUACCGAUGGCGAAGGCAGGUCUCUGGGCUGACACUGACGCUCAUGCACGAAAGCGUGGGGAGCAAACAGG